CCUCCCGCCGGGCGUCAUAAGAGAGCGCAAACUGCGGCGGGGGUUCCUGCCUUCCCUCCCCCGGCGCCGGGUGAUGAUCCAGUCCCGAGGAGGCGGGGCAAAGGAGCGAAGAGGAAAACAGCGGAGCCCGUGUGAGUGAGGACAUUGCAGCUGCUCAGCUAGGCCUCUGUCACCAUGGGUGAAAGAAAAGGAGUUAAUAAGUAUUACCCACCAGAUUUUGAUCCAGCCAAGGUAAGAUGGGGGUGAGGAUUCUCU